GGGGGGAACCUUCAUUUUUUUUAGGAGAAAAGCUCAUUUAAAAGUUUUCCAAAACUCCAUCUAUCUCAAGAGCAGACCCAGCUACAAAGGAGACCCUUUUUCUCUUUGGAAGAACCAAUCUUCCCUCUAUGCCCAAUUCCAUAACCUUCAUUGAAUCAUCCUUCCUUCCUCAUUGCAAACCUACCCUUUCCAUGCUGUAUUUGAUUUUGCUCAUCACGAGGCCACGCAAUCUCUAUUUGACGAAGCUCGCCUUACCAUACCUAUGCGCAGAACAGACCCAAAUUCAAGACUAGACCUGUCAUUGCCCCAUUUUACGAAGUAGCACCAGUGCCUCCAUCAAACUCUUUCUGAAUUGCAUCUCAAGAUACCACUUCGGAUCAAGUUCCGUUUGCAUCGAAUAUCCAAUCUCUCGCUCUCAAAGGACACUAGUCUCCAUUGUUCAUAACAGCUUUUCCUUCAUUCCAAGUUGUCCUUUGUACUGUGGGUAAAGCCUAAACCAUAAUAUAUUAUCUGCUAAGUUUUUGAUUUUAAGCCAAUGUUCUUAUUUGAAUAUUGAUUCAUAUUUAACAAUGCCUUGCAAUGCCUUAAUCCUGACUUUUUAAUUAAUUUUUGGAAUAAAUUGCGGCAUUAUUCUGUUUAAA
rnacentral:misc_RNA from 1 species